CGAAUUGCGAUAUGUAUUGUGAAUUGCAGAUUUUCGUGAAUCAUCAAAUCUUUGAACGCACAUUGCGCCCUCUGGUAUUCCAGGGGGCAUGCCUGUUUGAGCGUCAUUUCUCUCUCAAACCUUUGGGUUUGGUAGUGAGUGAUACUCGUUUCCGGGUUAACUUGAAAGUGGCUAGCCGUUGCCUUCUGCGUGAGCAGGGCUGCGUGUCAAGUCUAUGGACUCGACUCUUGCACAUCUACGUCUUAGGUUUGCGCCAAUUCGUGGUAAGCUUGGGUCAAAGAGCUUAUAGGUGUUAUAAAGACUCGCUGGUGUUUGUCUCCUUGAGGCAUACGGCUUAACCAAAACUCUCAAAGUUUGACCUCAAAUCAGGUAGGAAUACCCGCUGAACUUAAGCAUAUCAAUAAGCGGAGGAAAAGAAACCAACCGGGAUUGCCUUAGUAACGGCGAGUGAAGCGGCAAAAGCUCAAAUUUGAAAUCUGGCGUCUUCGACGUCCGAGUUGUAAUUUGAAGAAGGUUACUUUGUAGCUGGUCCUUGUUUAUGUUCCUUGGAACAGGACGUCAUAGAGGGUGAGAAUCCCGUGUGGCGAGGAUACCAGUUAUAUGUAAAGUACUUUCGACGAGUCGAGUUGUUUGGGAAUGCAGCUCUAAGUGGGUGGUAAAUUCCAUCUAAAGCUAAAUAUUGGCGAGAGACCGAUAGCGAACAAGUACAGUGAUGGAAAGAUGAAAAGAACUUUGAAAAGAGAGUGAAAAAGUACGUGAAAUUGUUGAAAGGGAAGGGCAUUUGAUCAGACAUGGCGUUUGCUUCGGCUUUCGCUGGGCCAGCAUCAGUUUUGGCGGCUGGAUAAAUCCUCGGGAAUGUGGCUCUACCGUGGUAGAGUGUUAUAGCCCGUGGGAAUACAGCCAGCUGGGACUGAGGAUUGCGACUUUUGUCAAGGAUGCUGGCGUAAUGGUUAAU
rnacentral:rRNA from 1 species